GUAGUCUCGCACAGAUGCAUAUCAAUAAGCGGAGGAAAAGAAACUAACAAGGAUUCCCCUAGUAACGGCGAGUGAAGCGGGAAGAGCUCAAAUUUGAAAUCUUAAAGGGUUUCCCUUUACGAAUUGUAGUUUAAAGAAGUGUUUUCUGUUGAGGUUUUGGUAAAAGUUCUUUGGAAUAGGACAUCAUAGAGGGUGAGAAUCCCGUAUUUGACCUUUACUUUCAACUUUGUGAUACACUUUCAAAGAGUCGGAUUGUUUGGGAAUGCAGUCCAAAAUGGGUGGUAAAUUUCAUCUAAAGCUAAAUAUUGGCGAGAGACCGAUAGCGAACAAGUACCGUGAGGGAAAGAUGAAAAGAACUUUGAAAAGAGAGUUAAACAGUACGUGAAAUUGUCAAAAGGGAAGCGUUUGACACCAGUGUUGUUUUUCUGAAAAUCAAUUAAAGAACUGUUUAUGCUAAGCUGUUUAGACUUUAUCAGCUAACUGUUUAGUUUUGAGCUUUUCUUUAAUGCACUUUUCAGUUAACAAGUCAACAUCAAUUUCUUUUGCUGUAAAAAGCUUGAGGAAGGUGGCUUGAGAUUCGUCUUAAGUGUUUAUAGCCUCUUGCCUAUGCAGUCGGAGAGAUUGAGGUCUGCAGCGUAGAUCCUUCGGGGCUAAAUGCAUUUGUGCUAAGUUAUAGCAUUUUAUAGACAACUUGUUGACUAUGAUUAGUCUUGUAGCUUACUCGCUUAUGUUAUUUUACCUACGCUUAGGAUGUUGAUCUGUAGUGCGUGCGC
rnacentral:rRNA from 1 species